rnacentral:rRNA from 1 species
UACGAGGGGGGCAAGCGUUGUUCGGAAUUAUUGGGCGUAAAGGGUGCGUAGGCGGACUUUUAAGUCAGUGGUGAAAGCUCCGAGCUUAACUCGGAAACUGCCAUUGAUACUAUUAGUCUUGAAUUCGGUUGAGGUUGGCGGAAUGUGUCGUGUAGCGGUGAAAUGCUUAGAUAUGACACAGAACACCGAUUGCGAAGGCAGCUUACUACGCAUAUAUUGACGCUGAGGCACGAAAGCGUGGGGAUCAAACAGG